CAAAACGAUAAGAGUUGUUCUUGAUCAACUUGAUUAACGAUUGGGAGACCGAGUGAAUCACAAUUGAUUCAAUUCCACGGUUGAGGGCGAAGAUCAUGGCAUGUCGAACAGCCAAAGCUUCGGCCAUUAGGGGCGAUGAGACAAAUGUCUCCGUCGCUGAGUGUUGUGUCGAUGAAAUCAGAUCAUCAAUGACCCAACCAAAUCCUGCACAGCUAGUAGAAGGAUUCCAGGCAGCGUCUGUGAAGACAGAGGAAUGGGCUUGACGAUGAGGAUUUGGUUCGAUGUUGAUCAUCGGAGUACGGGGGAGAGCAAUUUUGAUCUGAUCCUGGGCGAGUGUCCUGUCCAUUCUCUAGCGUCUGAGAGGGCUUUUGUUUUGUCAGGGUUUCCUUCUGGUGUUGGAAGAUGAGUUGAUUUCUCGAGAGCCAGAUGGACCAGACAAUCCAAGUUGAGAUCGUUCCUGCCGCUAGGCCCACCGGUGGGAGAGAUGGGAUCAAGUCCUGCAAGUGUAGUCUCAACCAGAUUUGCGUGAAAAGGAGAAGUAAAGGGUGCGAGAUUCCAAACUCUUGUAGCGUAUGAACAGGUAGUGCGUAAGAUCUUUGGUUUUUGGGAGACCUUGAGAUUCCAGACGUUCGCAAGCCAGUCAAUCGAGGCGUCUGGAGCCAUUGGAGGUAUCAGGGGCUGCUCUUCCGUCAUGGUGAGGUAACCAGAGCGUGUUGAGUAAAUUCCCGAAGGUUUUAACGACUUUUCCAUUUGUUCUUUUUGUAGAAUGAGUUAUAUAAUUUGUUAAGACAGCAUUGUUUCUACAGCCACAGUUGUUACCAAAUCUCUCAAGUUAAUUAUUCCAGCGGCAGUUGAAGACAAAACAUCACUAUCAAUUUCUGGUAUUAGCUUUGUUUUAUUCUGAAAACACAUGCACUUGAUUUCUAUGUCGUCUCGUUUUGUUUAGUCUCUUGUUUUACACAGAAUCUUUUCAGCUCAUGAGAAUGUUCUCAAGCUAUGACACAUCUUUCUUCUA